rnacentral:lncRNA from 1 species
AAAUGGUGAUCAACAGUGUUGUUGUCACAGAAGAAGUUGACCGAGUUUUGAAAUCAGUGAAAUAUCUGGUAGAAGCAGAGUAUGAUAAGGAGAUUGCAAAGGCAUUGGGAGUCGAAAAGAUAACACUGAAGGCUAUUGUAUAAAACAGCUGUCUCCGGAUUACACCUUCAAAAAGAUCUGAUGAUUUUUAGGGCAUUGCACAUGGUCAGUGUGAACCAGAGUGACUUGACACAAUGGGACAUGCAAGCUGCGCAAACAAAACAACACAGGACUUCUUAUUUAAUGAAAGGAGUUGCAGUCGUCCGUGAAGCUUUCAUCCAUGUAUACAGAGGUACGUGUAGUCGGGCUGUCUUCCAUCAGGUAUCUGUGGAGAAAAUUGCUGCCCCACAUCUCAAGCACUAAGCCCAGGCCUGAAGAUGGUUGCUGACUGCAAGACCACCUGUCAAGACCUGCAGUUGUCUCUGGGGGCCACUACUGAACCAGCAAGCAAACACAUCCGGAUGCAUUACAGCUUUGAUUU